CCUACGGGAGGCUGCAGUGAGGAAUAUUGGUCAAUGGCCGUAAGGCUGAACCAGCCAAGUCGCGUGAAGGAAGAAGGAUCUAUGGUUUGUAAACUUCUUUUAUAGGGGAAUAAAGGUAUCCACGUGUGGAUAUUUGCAUGUAACCUAUGAAUAAGCAUCGGCUAACUCCGUGCCAGCAGCCGCGGUAAUACGGAGGAUGCGAGCGUUAUCCGGAUUUAUUGGGUUUAAAGGGUGCGUAGGUUGUUUUUUAAGUCAGCGGUGAAAGUUUGUGGCUCAACCAUAAAAUUGCCGUUGAAACUGGAAGACGUGAGUGUGUUUGAGGUAGGCGGAAUGCGUGGUGUAGCGGUGAAAUGCAUAGAUAUCACGCAGAACUCCGAUUGCGAAGGCAGCUUACUAAGCCAUAACUGACACUGAAGCACGAAAGCGUGGGGAUCAAACAGGAUUAGAUACCCUUGUAGUC
rnacentral:rRNA from 1 species